rnacentral:rRNA from 1 species
AUGAACGCUAGCUACAGGCUUAACACAUGCAAGUCGAGGGGCAGCAUGGUCUUAGCUUGCUAAGGCCGAUGGCGACCGGCGCACGGGUGAGUAACACGUAUCCAACCUGCCGUCUACUCUUGGACAGCCUUCUGAAAGGAAGAUUAAUACAAGAUGGCAUCAUGAGUCCGCAUGUUCACAUGAUUAAAGGUAUUCCGGUAGACGAUGGGGAUGCGUUCCAUUAGAUAGUAGGCGGGGUAACGGCCCACCUAGUCUUCGAUGGAUAGGGGUUCUGAGAGGAAGGUCCCCCACAUUGGAACUGAGACACGGUCCAAACUCCUACGGGAGGCAGCAGUGAGGAAUAUUGGUCAAUGGGCGAGAGCCUGAACCAGCCAAGUAGCGUGAAGGAUGACUGCCCUAUGGGUUGUAAACUUCUUUUAUAAAGGAAUAAAGUCGGGUAUGGAUACCCGUUUGCAUGUACUUUAUGAAUAAGGAUCGGCUAACUCCGUGCCAGCAGCCGCGGUAAUACGGAGGAUCCGAGCGUUAUCCGGAUUUAUUGGGUUUAAAGGGAGCGUAGAUGGAUGUUUAAGUCAGUUGUGAAAGUUUGCGGCUCAACCGUAAAAUUGCAGUUGAUACUGGAUAUCUUGAGUGCAGUUGAGGCAGGCGGAAUUCGUGGUGUAGCGGUGAAAUGCUUAGAUAUCACGAAGAACUCCGAUUGCGAAGGCAGCCUGCUAAGCUGCAACUGACAUUGAGGCUCGAAAGUGUGGGUAUCAAACAGGAUUAGAUACCCUGGUAGUCCACACGGUAAACGAUGAAUACUCGCUGUUUGCGAUAUACGGCAAGCGGCCAAGCGAAAGCGUUAAGUAUUCCACCUGGGGAGUACGCCGGCAACGGUGAAACUCAAAGGAAUUGACGGGGGCCCGCACAAGCGGUGGAGUAUGUGGUUUAAUUCGACGCAACGCGAAGAACCUUACCAAGUCUUGACAUCCCUCUGACCGACUCUUAACCGAGUCUUUCCUUCGGGACAGAGGAGACAGGUGGUGCAUGGUUGUCGUCAGCUCGUGCCGUGAGGUGUCGGCUUAAGUGCCAUAACGAGCGCAACCCUUGUUGUCAGUUACUAACAGGUUCUGCUGAGGACUCUGACAAGACUGCCAUCGUAAGAUGUGAGGAAGGUGGGGAUGACGUCAAAUCAGCACGGCCCUUACGUCCGGGGCUACACACGUGUUACAAUGGGGGGUACAGAGGGCCGCUACCACGCGAGUGGAUGCCAAUCCCAAAAACCUCUCUCAGUUCGGACUGGAGUCUGCAACCCGACUCCACGAAGCUGGAUUCGCUAGUAAUCGCGCAUCAGCCACGGCGCGGUGAAUACGUUCCCGGGCCUUGUACACACCGCCCGUCAAGCCAUGGGAGCCGGGGGUACCUGAAGUGCGUAACCGCGAGGAGCGCCCUAGGGUAAAACUGGUGACUGGGGCU